GUGAGGCUGUGGUUUUGUGUGUGGUGCUGGGUUUUUGCAGGGAUACUUGGUCCAGUUGUUCUGCCUCUUCUGUGACUGCCUGUGGGGUUGAAACAACUGUUUCUCAGYCGUAUGGGGAAAGCAGUUACGAUGACCCAAAGGGUGCAAGAAGCAGCAAGAGGCCAAAGGGCAGUAGCUGUGCAGAGGACCAUGCUCUCUCCU